UUUCGUACGUAGCAGAGCAGCUC
rnacentral:piRNA from 3 species